UUCCACACAGCAUGAUUCACUCUCUGUGCAUCUGAAGUCAUUUUUAACUAUUCUCCCAGCAAUUGCUUGAAAGGAGCUCUUUACCACAUCUGAGCCCUAAUUCUGGAUCCAUUGCUGUCCCCUGUCACUCUAUGAAUCCAGUGUCUUCUGUUUUGAAGUGGCUCACCACCAUCCAGUAAUCGGUUUGAGUUUAAGAAGUACAGCUGAUGGUUAUCAAGAUAAAGAAUGUGAAUUGCGGGAAAGCAACAGGAAAGAACAGAGAGCUCACAUGUUGUGUCCUGCAGGGGAAGAACAUAGAGAAGAUGAAGCUAGCUCAAGCCUGUGGAGGUGUUGAAUUGCAGAUCAGGAUGAGAACCUCUGGCCGCUGGUCUCCAGGACACUUCCUCCCUCUGCCUGGUCCUGUGGUUGUGCUUUGGUCCUUCUCACCUCCUUCAAAGUCACCAGUGUUUUGGCAAAUUAGCCUCCCUCAUCCAUCCUAUUGUGCUUUAUUUUACUUUAUUUUUUUAAAGAGCAGAAUAUAUUUCUUGAGAGAAAGAAAACUUCUAUCUGAGAGACAGACAGAAGGGGUCCUGACCCUGUUGCCAAAGACCCUGCCUUUUUUAGAGGACUUUAUAGAGCAAAUCCAUGAGGUGAAGCCAGUCCAAGGUGGAGAAAAAUGGGAAAUUGCAAGGUGGGCAUGAGGUGGGACAGAACUGUGGUCAAACAAUAAGAUCACAAGUGUAACUGUUCAGGUAAAAUUGAUUAAAUUAGGGACAAAUGGGGAAGCGAGUCAUGUAGCAAGUGGGCAUGAACAGGGCAUUUUCCUGUAAGGAAUUUGGUUAGUGGCUCCUUCUGGCUUCCUCAAGGUGAUGGAUACCUAUUUAGAAUAUCAGUCCCUGAUGUUUAUCCUAAGAAGUAUAUGGUUGCAUUUGUUUUAUCUUUUUUCUCAAGGUUUGACUCACAGUGGGAGGUAUCUGUCUCCAAGGUUGUAAGGUAUCUUACAAGAUUGAUACCUUGUAUCUCCUUGAGAUACUUGAGAUCCUGGUAAGGAGUAACCUUACAAGGUUGUAAGGUAUCUCCUUUCAGGAGCCAACCCUGUCUGACUGCCUAUAAUAUUUCUAUCUAACUCAGCUGCCUAUAGCAUUCUCCUCUCUGAGGAAGUAUUACAAACUGCCCUGAAGGAGUAAUGGUCAAUGACUGAACUGGCUUCUUUAGGUUGAAGGGAGUCAUAGUUGUUGGUGGGCAGUCAGCGAUAAUCUAAAAAGGGUCAAUCUCAAGGCCCUCAGUAGAUACCAGGCAUUUUCAUCUUGUGUAAGUAUACAGUUUUAAAUCUGGAGAUGACACAGGCAAAGAAACAAUGAAGUAUGCAUGAUCCAAAUAAUAGAAUCAACAGGAUGAGUACAGUUAACAAAGAUUUCCACCAUGAAGAGCUAGUAAUGGAUUCCCAUAAAGAGGAUAAGGAUGAGGUCAGGGAAUUUUAGAGUCUGAUAUGUUGUUGACUCGUUGUCUAAAUGUUGAAUAGCUUUAUAUAGUAAGAUACCAAUAGAUAUUUGAUAAAUCAAAUUGAAUUUCUUCCAAUGAAAAAUAUAUUAGCUGUUGGGAAAAUAGAACAAACAAAAGAUGCUAUGGAUUUGUAAUGGGCAAAUAUGAAUCUGUAAGCACAUUCAUAUACAGAUGUAUAUAUACACAUUACAUGUUUGGAAUGUAAUGAUUCCAUUCAUUGUGGGCAGUUGGAACAUGUACAUAACACAUCUUAAUUCUUUUCCUUUCCCCUUCUCCAUGUUUCUUUAAUACUCUUUAAAAGAAUUUUAAAAAUGGAAAAAAGCAACAAGUAAAUAUGUGUUGUAAUUCUGACAUUUAAAUUUUAGUUGUUCAGAUAACUUUAGUUCUUUGAAUUCUCCAUAUUGAGAGGCAAAUAUUUUUAACAGGAUUCAUAUAUCCAAACAUAUACAUGUGUGUGUGUACAUGUAUAUUCAAUUUUUUCUUAAAUAUACAGAGCUAUGUUUAUAUUAAUAACAGAUUUGCCUGGUCAAACCCCCAUCAGAAUGCAGUCUAUUUCUCUUUUCACUUAAAUCAUGGAGGCCCUAUAACUUUUUUUGAUCAACAGACAGUUAAGGAAGUAAUGCUAUGCCAGUUAUAGGUUCAGUGUGUGCUUAUAUCUACAGCUUCUACUUCCACAUAGUUCAUACGUACAAAAAUAAUUACUUCUUUCAUAUAGUGUGCUCAUCUUUUCUGUCACUUUCCUGUUCCAAUACAGAAAGAAAUAAAUGGAACUGUACAUUGUGAACCAACAUUUUGGAGGGAAAUAAAACAUCACCACAAAAGACAA